GAAUAAACGAGAAAUAGAGGCGGAAUAGGAGAAGGAGCUAAGAUGUUUGUCGGGUUCCUGAAGAUGCGUCGACGUGUUAUCAUCCACGCAAGCUUCCCCAACCCAGCCAGUGUACCACAGGACGGGAGGAGGAAGCCAGCGGCUGCAUGCACCAUUGAACAGGACGGCAUUGUAUUCCUCCCACAGGAGUGACUACAGCGAAGCAAGCCCAGAAUAAAGUGUUGAGUGACCGUGAUGAUUCAGUACUACUAACACCAAACAAGUGAGGGAAGUGUUCGGAGUGAACGUGCAAGACAUACAACAGACACCAGACUGCUGCCGCUGCUGCUACUGCCGGUGUAGCCAAAGGAACAAAAGGUCCGGAGCAAGAGGAAGAAAUGGGUGAUUCUUGGAAACGCACCAAUGAAGUUGUGAAGAUGUCUCCGGUGUGUCGCCUAGUGCGUUCCCUUGUCCUGCUCGAGAGAGAGAGAGAGAGAGAGAGCGAUUCGGAUCACCACCGCGUCGAGCUGCCUGCCCACCUCCCUCCAUUGUCCUUCCCCUCUCACUUGAGUAUUGUGAACGUUGUAUUUAUUUUCAUCACGCCUCUGUGUUUGUAAAGGGAGAGUGUUCCAAUAAGUGAGCUCUGUUUGCAGUCACAUGUGUAUUUCAAAGGUGUUUUGCCAAGUGCUGUGCUGAGGUGUUGUGGUGUAUCUGUCUAUACGGUGUUCGAGCUAGCUUUCGCCCAUGUUUGUGACGCUACCUUCCGUACUGCAUUUAAUGUCUGUGGAUUUCCCGUUUUUACCCACUCUCCUGAUAAACCUUAAAAGCGUGGUUAUGUUGGUUCAGUGUACAUUUCCCUCGUGUAACGGAGUGGUAAGUCAACCUCCCUCCACGUACAACAGUGUCGGGAAUCAUUUCCCCCGUGUCACGGUGUCAUGGGAUAUUUUCUCUUAUAUUUGUUUGCUUGUGGGCUAAUGAUACGUGUAGUGUGGCAUACUGGUGAGUGAAGCUGCAUAACUCUCUACUCUCCAUCGUGGAUCUGUUUCCCCAUGAUUAUUACUCUUGUAUGGGUUAUCAUUGGUGCUUGUUAGUGAAGCUAUCUUUGCUUAAUAUAUGUACUAUUUUUUGAGUCGUGUUUAAAAUUCCUUCCCCUUUGAUUUCUGGCACGUCCGAGUUGGGUUAGACCUUAAGUCAGAUGCGAAUGUGAAUUUCUCUUUGAACUCGGGUGUAACUAUGUAUAUCGUAUUUAAAAGAGAUAAUUGUAUAUAUGUAGACCAAGAGAGGAAAGUAACCUCUUGGGAUACGAGUCACUCAUCAUUCGUGUCACCCAUCAUGAUCGUUUAUGCCUUAAGAACCAAAUGACCAACGUGUUCACUCCAUGCUGGAGUUCACCAUGGAGAAACACGUAGUGAAUGAAGAUAACGUUCCUUGUUAGGAGACGCCAUCUUCUUAAGAGAGGGAGUGUAGCCUAGCGAGCAUACUGGCUGUGCGUCUCGGUGUGUCUUGUUGCCAGGCCAUCACAGUAAUUAGUACCAAUUAGUAGUAUUUAAGGUAGUAGUAGUAGUAGUAGUAGUAGUGGUUGUCACUCACACUAUUGCAAGGUGUGAUGUACACAUACAUGGCUAUGUCUGUAGUGGUCACAACAACCUGUUCCUUCUUGUGUGUGUGUGUGUGUGUGUGUGUGUGUCUCCAAGAUAGACCACAAAAGUGUCUUUUUUUGUUUUCUGGGGUGAAGCACAAAGGUAU